UGCGUAGACGGCAUAUUAAGUCAACUGUUAAAUUCUCCGGCCUAACCGGAGGUCAGCGGUAGAUACUGGUAAGCUAGAGGAUGGAAGAGAGAAGUGGAAUUCUCGGAGUAGCGGUAAAAUGCGUAGAUCUCGAGAGGAACACCGAUGGCGAAGGCAGCUUCUUGGUCCAUUUCUGACGUUGAGGCACGAAAGCGUGGGGAGCAAACAGGAUUAGAUACCCUGGUAGUCC
rnacentral:rRNA from 1 species